GUUGCUUCGGCGGGCAGGGGAAGCCUCUCGCGGGCCUCCCCUCCCGGCGCCGGCCCCACCACGGGGACGGGGCGCCCGCCGGAGGAAACCAAACUCUAUUUACACGACGUCUCUUCUGAGUGGCACAAGCAAAUAAUUA
rnacentral:rRNA from 1 species